AUGUGGGAAGAAUGCUUGCCUCAUAUUGAGUUUGCUUAUAAUCGUUCAUUGCAUUCUACUACUAAGAUGUGCCCUUUUGAAAUUGUGUAUGGUUUCCUACCUCGUGCACCUAUUGAUUUGUUGCCUCUUCCAUCUUCGGAGAAGGUUAAUUUUGAUGCUAAACAACGUGCUGAAUUGAUCUUAAAAAUGCAUGAGUUAACUAAGGAAAACAUUGAGCGUAUGAAUGCUAAAUAUAAACUUGCUGGAGAUAAGGGUAGAAAACAUGUUGUGUUUGCACCUGGAGAUCUUGUUUGGUUACAUUUGCGUAAGGAUAGAUUUCCUGAUUUGCGCAAAUCAAAGCUAAUGCCACGUGCUGACGGUCCUUUUAAGGUGUUAGAGAAAAUAAAUGAUAAUGCAUAUAAACUUGAGCUGCCUGCAGAUUUUGGGGUUAGUCCCACUUUUAAUAUUGCAGAUUUGAAGCCUUAUUUGGGUGAGGAAGAUGAGCUUCCGUCGAGGACGACUUCAUUUCAAGAAGGGGAGGAUGAUGAGGACAUCAAUACAAUUAUUACACCCACAGGCCCUGCUGCUAUACAUACUGGACCAAUUACUAGAGCUCGCGCACGCCAAUUAAAUUACCAGGAAACAGACCCUCGUGGUCAGGUUGAUCGUGCUCCGGCGUGGUCGAUAACCUCUCGGAGUUGGUUUAGCGAUUGCUAA
rnacentral:rRNA from 1 species